GAUGAACGCUGGCGGCAGGCCUAACACAUGCAAGUCGAACGAGUGGCGGACGGGUGAGUAAUGUCUGGGACACUGCCCGAUGGGCGGGGAUAACUACUGGAACCGGUAGCUAAUACAGCAUACCAUCGGAUGUGCCCAGAUGGGAUUAGCUUGUAGGUGGGGUAACGGCUUACCUAGGCGACGAUCCCUAGCUGGUCUGAGAGGAUGACCAGCCACACGGGAACUGAGACACGGUCCAGACUCCUACGGGAGGCAGCAGUGGGGAAUAUUGCACAAUGGGCGCAAGCCUGAUGCAGCCAUGCCGCGUGUAUGAAGAAGGCCUUCGGGUUGUAAAGUACUUUCAGCGGGGAGGCGUUACCCGCAGAAGAAGCACCGGCUAACUCCGUGCCAGCAGCCGCGGUAAUUC
rnacentral:rRNA from 1 species